rnacentral:rRNA from 1 species
AGAACGAACGCUGGCGGCAUGCCUAACACAUGCAAGUCGAACGUGAUCCAGGCUUCGGCCUGGUGAAAGUGGCAGACGGGUGAGUAACGCGUGGGAACCUGCCCUGUGGUAGGGAAUAACCGUGGGAAACUGCGGCUAAUACCCUAUGAGUCCUUCGGGAGAAAGAUUUAUCGCCAUAGGAGGGGCCCGCGUCGGAUUAGGUAGUUGGUGGGGUAACGGCCUACCAAGCCUUCGAUCCGUAGCUGGUCUGAGAGGAUGAUCAGCCACACUGGGACUGAGAUACGGCCCAGACUCCUACGGGAGGCAGCAGUGGGGAAUAUUGGACAAUGGGGGCAACCCUGAUCCAGCAAUGCCGCGUGGAUGAUGAAGGCCUUCGGGUUGUAAAGUCCUUUCGGCGGGGAGAUGAUGACGGUACCGCAGAGAAGCCCCGGCUAACUUCGCGCCGAGCAGCCGC